rnacentral:rRNA from 1 species
UACAGAGGUGCCGAGCGUUAGGCGGAAUCACUGGGCUUAAAGCGCGUGUAGGCGGGUCGGUAAGUGUCUUGUGAAAUCCCACGGCUCAACCGUGGAACUGCUGGGCAUACUGCCGACCUUGAGGCGUCUAGGGGCGAGCGGAACAAAUGGUGGAGCGGUGAAAUGCGUAGAUAUCAUUUGGAACGCCGACGGUGAAAACAGCUCGCUGGGGACGUCCUGACGCUGAGACGCGAAAGCCAGGGGAGCGAACGGG